GAUGAACGCUGGCGGCGUGCCUAAUACAUGCAAGUCGAGCGAACGGACGAGAAGCUUGCUUCUCUGAUGUUAGCGGCGGACGGGUGAGUAACACGUGGAUAACCUACCUAUAAGACUGGGAUAACUUCGGGAAACCGGAGCUAAUACCGGAUAAUAUUUUGAACCGCAUGGUUCAAAAGUGAAAGACGGUCUUGCUGUCACUUAUAGAUGGAUCCGCGCUGCAUUAGCUAGUUGGUAAGGUAACGGCAUACCAAGGCAACGAUGCAUAGCCGACCUGAGAGGGGGAUAGGCCACAUUGGAACUGAGACACGGACAAGACUCCUAAGGGAGGCAGCAGAAGGGAAUCUUCCGCAAUGGGCGAAAGCCUGACAGAGCAACGCCGCGUGAGUGAUGAAGGUCUUCGGAUCGUAAAACUCUGUUAUUAGGGAAGAACAUAUGUGUAAGUAACUGUGCACAGCGUGACGGUACCUAAUCAGAAAGCCACGGCUAACUACGUG
rnacentral:rRNA from 1 species